AUGGGUGAAAGCACUAUUGCCCAUCAUAGCAGCUGUCCACAAAGCAGUCUGCUAGUCGUCGUUGCACCGCUUUGCAAGGCGCAACGCACGGCGAGACCGUCGAAUUGCGGGGACAUCCUUACAGCUCAAGCUACCAACUUGUCGCAGAAAUGCUGGCAAGGGCCGGGGUAAUGACCCAGGGUAUGGUAAAAACGCUUGAGAUUGGAUAAUCCGCAGCCAAGCACCUUACCCGGAUUCAACGUCCGGAAAGGUGAAGGUUCAGAGACUAGGUGGCGGUCGGUCACGAGACGUGGCUUAAGAUAGAGUCCGUUCGCGCUGAAAAGCGUUCGUCGGGAAGAAAGCCUUAGCAAGGCCGGAGCCAGACGAAGGGUAGCCAUUAUUGGCUGCCUCGAGGUACACGGGUGGUGC
rnacentral:ncRNA from 1 species